AUUGAACGCUGGCGGCAGGCCUAACACAUGCAAGUCGAACGAGUGGCGGACGGGUGAGUAAUGUCUGGGAAACUGCCUGAUGGAGGGGGAUAACUACUGGAAAAGGUAGCUAAUACCGCAUACCAUCAGAUGUGCCCAGAUGGGAUUAGCUAGUUGGUGGGGUAACGGCUCACCAAGGCGAAGAUCCCUAGCUGGUCUGAGAGGAUAACCAGCCACAUGGGAACUGAGACACGGUCCAGACUCCUACGGGAGGCAGCAGGGGGGAAUAUUGUAAAAUGGGCGCAAGCCUGAUGCAGCCAUGCCGCGUGUAUGAAGAAGGCCUUCGGGUUGUAAAGCACUUUCAGCGGGGAGGCGUUACCCGCAGAAGAAGCACCGGCUAACUCCGUGCCAGCGGCCGCGGUAAUU
rnacentral:rRNA from 1 species